UGAGCAAUCUGCCCUUCACAUCGGAAUAACCAUUGGAAACGAUGGCUAAUACCGAAUAUGACUUCGGAUCGCAUGAUCUGAAGUGGAAAGCUCCGGCGGUGAAGGAUGAGCUCGCGGCCUAUCAGCUAGUUGGUGUGGGUAAUGGCCCACAAGGCGACGACGGGUAGCCGGCCUGAGAGGGCGACCGGCCACACUGGGACUGAGAUACGGUCCAGAUCCGUAACGGGG
rnacentral:rRNA from 1 species